GGCGAGUGGCGAACGGGUGAGUAACAUAUCGGAACGUACCGAGCAGUGGGGGAUAACUAAUCGAAAGAUUAGCUAAUACCGCAUAUCUUCUGAGGAAGAAAGCAGGGGACCAUUUGGCCUUGCGCUGUUUGAGCGGCCGAUAUCUGAUUAGCUAGUUGGUGGGGUAAAGGCCUACCAAGGCGACGAUCAGUAGCGGGUCUGAGAGGAUGAUCCGCCACACUGGGACUGAGACACGGCCCAGACUCCUACGGGAGGCAGCAGUGGGGAAUUUUGGACAAUGGGCGCAAGCCUGAUCCAGCCAUGCCGCGUGUCUGAAGAAGGCCUUCGGGUUGUAAAGGACUUUUGUCAGGGAAGAAAAGGGCGGGGUUAAUACCCCUGUCUGAUGACGGUACCUGAAGAAUAAGCACCGGCUAACUACGUGCCAGCAGCCGCGGUAAUACGUAGGGUGCGAGCGUUAAUCGGAAUUACUGGGCGUAAAGCGGGCGCAGACGGUUACUUAAGCAGGAUGUGAAAUCCCCGGGCUCAACCUGGGAACUGCGUUCUGAACUGGGUGACUAGAGUGUGUCAGAGGGAGGUAGAAUUCCACGUGUAGCAGUGAAAUGCGUAGAGAUGUGGAGGAAUACCGAUGGCGAAGGCAGCCUCCUGGGAUAACACUGACGUUCAUGCCCGAAAGCGUGGGUAGCAAACAGGAUUAGAUACCCUGGUAGUCCACGCCCUAAACGAUGUCGAUUAGCUGUUGGGCAGCAUGACUGCUUAGUAGCGAAGCUAACGCGUGAAAUCGACCGCCUGGGGAGUACGGUCGCAAGAUUAAAACUCAAAGGAAUUGACGGGGACCCGCACAAGCGGUGGAUGAUGUGGAUUAAUUCGAUGCAACGCGAAGAACCUUACCUGGUCUUGACAUGUACGGAAUCCUCCAGAGACGGAGGAGUGCCUUCGGGAGCCGUAACACAGGUGCUGCAUGGCUGUCGUCAGCUCGUGUCGUGAGAUGUUGGGUUAAGUCCCGCAACGAGCGCAACCCUUGUCAUUAGUUGCCAUCAUUAAGUUGGGCACUCUAAUGAGACUGCCGGUGACAAGCCGGAGGAAGG
rnacentral:rRNA from 1 species